rnacentral:pre_miRNA from 15 species
AAAUGGUAACUUGGUUGGUCACGUGUAUUCUUGGGUAAUUAACACAUAUUCAGGGAUGUUAUUGCUUGAGAAUACACGUAGCUGACAAGUGACAACAGC